rnacentral:misc_RNA from 1 species
ACGAAUGAACGAAAUCUGGACUUUAGGAACACCAAGACAAAUACAUCUUAGUAUACGAAGAACUGUGGAAAAAUUUUCAAGGAACUAGGUCAACUGAGAAGAGUGAGAACCUGUCAAAUGGUGAAGAACUGUAUGCAGCGGAAAAAGAAUAGAUUGUGCGCCUUUGUGAGGAGUAAUCCACCCCAAGGCUGAAAUAUGAUGGUACACUUUCGAAAAUUAGUCUGUGAAUACCUUUGUCGGGUGAGUAAACAGCACAAAUAUAUGGCUUGGAAAGUAGGUAACCGGUAGUCACCUAGGCUAGAUAAUAGAACUCUGGAAUAGUACCUGUGAGUCAUAUUAUGGAAUAUGCUUUACGGCAGACCCAAUGAUACACUGACGAAAUUUCAGUUGAUUGAUCGAUAUUGAGGAUUCCUACGUUAAUGGACACAGUAACCUUAGUAUAGUAUGGCAUCUGCAAGUCGACUAUACCUGUGGACACAUUAGAUUCAGCAAUGCAGAACUUUUCCACGUAUAACUGACCGGCUCAGGGGCAGCUUCUUUCCACUCCCGAUGCAAAUUCAGCUCAGGCUGUUCAGAAAGUUGGUGCAAGAUGUAUUCAUGAGAUAUACUGCUAUUGAGAAGGCGAUAAGUCGUUUACCGACUGUUAACAGGAUCAAAAGAACUGAAGAACUUUUGCUCUUGAGACAAUGUUGCAAUGAGGACAGUUGGGUUCAUUUUGUUGAAGUUUACCUCUUGUGUAGACUCAGGGUCAUUUUUUUUGCCUACCAUGGUACAUAAAAGGUCCAAGCAGUAGCUAGGAGAAAUGUCAUUAUGGAAAAAACCCGUAUCAUUGUGGAAAAGCUUUCUAUGGCGACAAGGCA